GUCGAACGCUCAUUCCUCACCGAACUUCGGUUCACCGAGAAAUGGGAGUGGCGAACGGGUGAGUAACACGUGGGUAACCUACCCAUCAGCGGGGGAUAACACUUGGAAACAGGUGCUAAUACCGCAUAAUUCUUUUCUUCGCCUGGAGGAAAGAUGAAAGACGCUUUUGCGUCACUGAUGGAUGGACCCGCGCUGCAUUAGCUAGUUGGUGGGGUAAUAGCUCACCAAGGCCACGAUGCAUAGCCGACCUGAGAGGGUGAUCGGCCACACUGGGACUGAGACACGGCCCAGACUCCUACGGGAGGCAGCAGUAGGGAAUCUUCGGCAAUGGACGGAAGUCUGACCGAGCAACGCCGCGUGAGUGAAGAAGGUUUUCGGAUCGUAAAACUCUGUUGUUAGAGAAGAACAAGGAUGAGAGUAGAAUGUUCAUCCCUUGACGGUAUCUAACCAGAAAGCCACGGCUAACUACGUGCCAGCAGCCGCGGUAAUACGUAGGUGGCAAGCGUUGUCCGGAUUUAUUGGGCGUAAAGCGAGCGCAGGCGGUUUCUUAAGUCUGAUGUGUAAGCCCCCGGCUUAACCGGGGAGGGUCAUUGGAAACUGGGAGACUUGAGUGCAGAAGAGGAGAGUGGAAUUCCAUGUGUAGCGGUGAAAUGCGUAGAUAUAUGGAGGAACACCAGUGGCGAA
rnacentral:rRNA from 1 species